GUGUGUGUGUGUGUGUGCGUGUGUUUAUCCACGGUGCGUAAACCCUCGGUUAAAAACUGGAAAAACCUGAUGCACUACAGUGUAGCAAAAUCAUGUUGGAAGUCAGUAGUUGUAUGAAAGUCAGUCAUUUUUCUUUGAGAAUGUUUGCUUCCCUCCUCGUGGUCACGCUGGGGUUAUGCUACUGCAGAACGGACAGCAAUCAGACAUUUCUGGGGAUUCCACAGCUGUUUGGCCCUUCAGAGGCUUUGCUGGGAGAAAUUGUAGUAUUCAAAUGUGUAAUGCCAAACCACCCAAAGAAUGAAUCUGUCCUGCUGCAGUUAUACAACAAGGAUAAUGACAAGCGGUUGGGUGAGUCUACCUCCCUGUCUGGGGAAGCUGGAACCUUCACCCUGCUCAUCAAACUGUCCCAUGAGGGCAACCUGGAGUGUUUGGCCAGAGCACAGAACAACUCUCACACCAUGCCCACUGUCAGCAGAACACACCGCCUGAGGGUGGUUGAUGUGGUGUCAGCCCCUGAUAUCUCCUUCACUGUGCUGAAGGAGGAUUCCUACAACUACUCUGCUGUGGUCACAUGUGAGUCGACGAUUGGGACCCUGCCUGUCACCUUUUCACUCUACAACAGGACAGAGCUGGUUGCCAAUGUGACGAGUGAUAACAGGAGGGCCAUAUUUAAGUUACCACUUGUCUUGGAUCAGUACUCGGGAGAGCUCCAGUGCAACGCGGACAACGGAGCCCAGGUUGCUCACAGUCAGUGGCUGCCCUUGGAAGUUGUCUCAGUUGGCGGGCCUGUGACCAUGCACUACGACUCCGACAUUGGAGAAAACUUUGCUGUGAUUGGCCUGAGGUUGUACUGCAAGGUGGCAAAGGGAUCUCAUCCACGUUACCAGUGGUUCCUCAACAAAACCCUUCUCCAUGACAAAGGAAGUUUCUACUACGUGGUCGACCAGCCGCCAGAACAGUCAAUACUCCUGCUGUCUGUGGGGAGGAGCAGCGCUGGGACGUAUCACUGCCAAGUGUCUGACAGCUUUGACAACACUACUGCAAUAAGCAGUUGGGAGCAAUAUUUGGAUAAAGAAGUGCUGAACCGUCCCCCUGUCUAUGUAGUGGCAGUUGUCUUUGGUUGUUUCACAGCUUUGAUUCUCCUGGUGUCCGUCUGUUGUAUUGGAGUGGUGUACAGGGUCUGGAGAUGGAGAGAAGGGUAGUUGCCUACGAAGGCGAGCUGGAUCUGCGUGAGUACGGUGAGGAUGCAGGUGUGGUGAGAUCAGCCAGAGGGGGUGAAUUUGAUCAGACAUCUGAGGCCUCUGCAGAUGAAUGGCCCUAAAUUGCAGAACAGAAGAAGACGUUGGAGGAUGAAACGUUUGAGGCGCCCUGAGGACUUGUCAUUUGCUCCAUAUAAUCACACUGCUGUGGUUAAAUAAACCCCUGCUCGUGA